AGAUCAGGAGCAGAAUAAGAUCGUUAAUGUUGGUACUCUGAGUAUAUUCUAAGUAACACAUCGAUUUUUUUAUAGAACGGUAAAACUUCUACUCAACGAUAAGUUUUUCUGCACGGACAGUUAUUUUGACGCUUCAGUCAUGUGCUCGUGCAUAAAUAAUUUCGAUCUUUAAAUUUGAUGUCCAAGCCAAUCUUCUUUAGUGUUAUUCAGCAUUAUUUUGAAGUAAAUUCGAAGCAGUUGGAACAUGAAACACCGUUUACCAUAGAGAUAAAUCUGUUUUUAUAUAACUUGGAAAAGUUCUGUCCUCAGACUUUUAAUGGGAGUUGAGAGAUACCAAGCGUGAGAGAUAGAAGAAGGAAGAGGCUUUUUUUGCCAUCUAUAUUACACAGACAAAAGCUUAGAUGGGACCACUUUCUGGCUAAUUAUUCCUUGAGAGCAUCUUAUUGUGACCAUUUGUAUGAAUCUUGCUUGGAGUGAGGAGUUUGUUUUAGCAGCUAUGUGGACAUAGAGAACGUGUGCACGUUACGAAACCCAAGUGGAUGAACAAUUAUUCUUUUGUUCUAUGUCUGGAGAGCAGAAAGGCUUUGACAUAGACAGGACUAUUGAUGUAAUGGGGCGCUAUACCACAUCAGGUUGCUCGCUGUGAACGAGGCACGUCUUCCAAUUAUCGCAAUUCUAUUGUGCAAUCGUAAUUCAUGUGCGGACGACUCUGCUGCUGCCACGCCCUCUACAGGAAUCCACACUAAGGUUGACAAAUUAAGGACCACAAUUAAUUCCAAGGACCUCCACGAGUAACAAAGCAAUUUUUUCCAGGAUCAGACUUAAAUUAGUCCAGAUAUAGCUAUAUAUAAGCUCAAUUUAUAAUUUAUGCAUGUUUUGUAUAAUUUUAUGAGAAAUAAUUAAGAGC